rnacentral:tRNA from 1 species
GAGGUGUAACUCAGUUUGGUUAGAGUAUCGGCCUGUCACGCCGAAAGCCGCGGGUUCAAGUCCCGUCUCCUCC